CGUAGGGGCUAGCGUUAUCCGGAUUUACUGGGCGUAAAGGGUGCGUAGGUGGUUUCUUAAGUCAGGAGUGAAAGGCUACGGCUCAACCGUAGUAAGCUCUUGAAACUGGGAAACUUGAGUGCAGGAGAGGAAAGUGGAAUUCCUAGUGUAGCGGUGAAAUGCGUAGAUAUUAGGAGGAACACCAGUAGCGAAGGCGGCUUUCUGGACUGUAACUGACACUGAGGCACGAAAGCGUGGGGAGCAAACAGGAUU
rnacentral:rRNA from 1 species